rnacentral:misc_RNA from 1 species
AUAAUGUUUAUUUUUUUCUCUUCUUUUUAAAUAUAUCUAGAUCUAGAUCUAGAUCUAUAUGAAUAUGAUACGAACAUAAUAGUAACAAAUAUAGAGAAAAUAGCUUGUGAUACGGUAUUACUAAAUAUAAUAUUAAAAUGAAAUUAUUUCAUUGCUUUUUAGUUUUUAUGAUUCAUAUCAGAAGGACCGGAAACAGCAACCCGACCCGGAUGAAAAACAAACAAUAGUCUUGGCUGCAACUCUAGAAUUCUGUGCUUGGCUGGCACAGCCAGUGUAUGCACACAAAAAAAGCACAGAAAAAAGUCCAGAAUUUCGAAAUAGACGCCAAACAUCUCAAAUUUGAAAUGUUGCUUGUCUUAUUUGGGCAAGGAGUCCUCCACAUUGAGGUUAUUUGAACUGUUGCAAGCAAAAUCAGCCCUGUGUAUCCACGAGAAAUACCCCUGUGGACUUCACUCAUGGAAACAGAAAGUCAACAUUGAGGUUAUUCGAACUGUUGCAAGCAAAAUCAGCCCUGUGUAUCCACGAGAAAUACCCCUGUGGACUUUACUCAUGGAAACAGAAAGUCAACAUUGAGGGUAAGCAGCACAGGCCUGUAAAGAGACUCGAUCAGUCUGGCUUUAGCUAGGCUUUGAGGUGAACUCAAAUAGUAUCUUUGCAGUAACUGUGCGUUUUAUUCUAAAAAAAAAGCUCGAAACUAUGAGCAGAGCGCCAGUUUCUGGGAGGAAUUAAAUAAAGCCGUGAUAAAACCUAGGAAUGUGAAAGUCUCAACUAGAGGUACACCGAGCUAGUUGAAUACAGACAUUUUGGAUACUGACUGAAACUUGUUUUUUCUCUUCUUGACAAACGACCAAGAUGAAUUUAGAGUUCCAGGUGUGUUUGCUGCCGUGGAUUCUCUUUGCUCUAUUCUCCCUUUUAGGGUACGUCUUAGAGCCGAUUUUUGGAGAAUGUAGUCCCGUUAUAUACGCAGCUGUGGCUCUUUGGAUGAUUGUUAUAGGCUUUGCGCUGGCUGGAAAAUGUCCACAGGUGAACAG